AAACUGGCCUAUAAAACAAUACAAAAUGCCAAGACAAAAGGAUGGAAACUCAUGUGGACUUUGGGUCCUAAAAUGUAUGGAAGAAUGGGAUGGAGAUGAAUUUAGAACCACUAUUACACAGACACUCGUUGACUCUACCAGAGAAGUUAUGGUCGGUGAAAUAAUUUUUUCACCUAGUAACGAGCUGGAUAGGGUCAAAGAUAAACUACUCAACCCCAAUGGCGAGGAAGAUGAUGCUUAGGUCCAAGGUCUAGUGGAUAUG